GCUUAGGAAUCUGCCUAUUAGUGGGGGACAACAUUUCGAAAGGAAUGCUAAUACCGCAUACGUCCUACGGGAGAAAGCAGGGGAUCUUCGGACCUUGCGCUAAUAGAUGAGCCUAAGUCGGAUUAACUAGUUGGUGGGGUAAAGGCCUACCAAGGCGACGAUCUGUAGCGGGUCUGAGAGGAUGAUCCGCCACACUGGGACUGAGACACGGCCCACACUCCUACGGGAGGCAGCAGUGGGGAAUAUUGGACAAUGGGCGCAAGCCUGAUCCAGCCAUGCCGCGUGUGUGAAGAAGGCCUUAUGGUUGUAAAGCACUUUAAGCGAGGAGGAGGCUACUGAAGUUAAUACCUUCAGAUAGUGGACGUUACUCGCGGAAUAAGCACCGGCUAACUCUGUGCCAGCAGCCGCGGUAAUACAGAGGGUGCAAGCGUUAAUCGGAUUUACUGGGCGUAAAGCGCGUGUAGGCGGCUAAUUAAGUCAAAUGUGAAAUCCCCGAGCUUAACUUGGGAAUUGCAUUCGAUACUGGUUAGCUAGAGUGUGGGAGAGGAUGGUAGAAUUCC
rnacentral:rRNA from 1 species